AAUGGGAGUGAAGAUGCAAAUGGAGUUUUCUCUCUGAAUGGUACACAAAGAGCAACACAAGUAAAUGGCUCUCCUGACGGGAGCGCAAACAGCCUGGAGGCUGGAAAGCAGACUGGAGAGAGAGACUUUUGCUUAUAGAUCUGAUUGGAUUAUUUUGUAUUUUGUAAGAUGCUGAGACUGUGUUGGAUAGCACAAGAUAUUGCAUGGAUAUUUUAGAUGUUUUUAUUCUGUUUUGAAGAAAGUUCUGCCAGCUAAAGUUUGAAUAUUUCUAUGGGUCUGGACAAUGUUUCACUUCUAAAGGAGUCAGUUUUUAUGCUUCCAGUCACUUCAAACUGUGCAAUAUUUAAUAUCUGCAACACGGCAUCGGUAGUAGAUGGAUCAAUGGUCUGACGUGGUAGAAAGCAAUUUCUUAUGUUCCAGACCCCCCCCCCCAAAUAUGGUAGUGGGUGCAGAAUGCAGCUUCCAGAGAAUCUUACAAACAAACAAACACAAGAAGGGGGGUGGGGUAGGCUCUCUGGCAUGUUCCUGGUCAUUCUCUCUUUCCAUUCUUCUUCUUCUCCUCCUCCUCCUUUUUUCCUGACAGGGACUCAAGGCAGCUUACACUAAAAUGUUAUUUUGUUCCAUUUAUCUGUGGAUCCCUUCCCUUGCACAUGUUUUCUUUACAGCAAUCCUGUGAGAUAGGUGAGGUGCAGAGGUUGCCAUUGGCUCAAGGUGAUCAAUAUCAAUGUAUGACAAAUAUGAGGUAUACGUGUGCUGAGAGAUCCAAUGCGAGAGAAGCUUCCUGAUGCUGAGUAGGUUGUCUCUAUUUUCCUCAGAGAAACCUUGGAGGGCAGAUGAUUUGGCUUUAUAAGUGCGUGGAGGGUGGGAUCCACAUCUCUUACCAGUACAAGAGGAAGAAGAGGCUGUAUUGCUAUAUUACAUGGGGUGACUUUAAUGGAGGAUAAAGACUGUGAGAAAUGCAAACACACACCAGCUGCAGACACAACAGCCUGAGAGUAAGACAAAUAUAGGGGAAAUAUAUCAUAGUGGUCUCAAAAUGGCUAAAGUGGAGGGGACUAGACAAGAAGGUCACAAAUACUGGUGGAAAAAAAGUCUUAUAGUUUCAUUCAUCUGCCUUGAAAUGAAUGGAAGCUCUGAAGGAGCUGGGUUUUUUGGACUGAAAAAGAGGAGACUGAGAGGAGAUAGAAUAGCCAUCUUCAAAUGUCUCAAGGGCUGGCACAUGGAAAAGAGAACAAGCUGGUUUUCUCUUGCUCUGGAGAGCAGGGCUCAAACCAAUGGCUUCAAGCUACAAGAAAGGAGAUUCUGAUGAAACAUCAAGAAGGAUUUUCUGACAGUAAGAACAGUUCAACAGUGGAACAAUCUCCCUUGAAAGGUUGUGGACUCUCCUUCCUUGGAGGUUUUUAAGGAGAGGUUGGGUGGCCAUCCAGCAUGGAUGCUUUAGCAUUGCAGGGGGUUGGACUAGAUGACC